AGCAGCCGCGGUAAUUCCAGCUCCAAUAGCGUAUAUUAAAGUUGUUGCAGUUAAAAAGCUCGUAGUUGAAUUUCGGGAUCAGUACGCUGGUCGUGCCUUCGGUAUGCACUGGUUUCACUGAUUCCUCCCUUCUGAAGAACCGUAAUGCCAUUCAGUUGGUGUGGCGGGGAAUCAGGAUUGUUACUUUGAAAAAAUUAGAGUGUUUAAAGCAGGCUCGCGCUUGAAUACAUUAGCAUGGAAUAAUGAAAUAGGACGUUUGAUCCCAUUUUGUUGGUUUCUAGGAUUGACGUAAUGAUUAAUAGGGAUAGUUGGGGGCAUUAGUAUUCAAUUGUCAGAGGUGAAAUUCUUGGAUUUAUUGAAGACUAACUACUGCGAAAGCAUUUGCCAAGGAUGUUUUCAUUAAUCAAGAACGAAAGUUAGGGGAUCGAAGACGAUCAGAUACCGUCGUAGUCUUAACCAUAAACUAUGCCGACUAGGGAUCGGAUGAUGUUAAUUUUUAAUGA
rnacentral:rRNA from 1 species